rnacentral:rRNA from 1 species
CCUACGGGAGGCAGCAGUGGGGAAUCUUGCGCAAUGGGCGAAAGCCUGACGCAGCGACGCCGCGUGAGGGAAGAAGGCCUUCGGGUUGUAAACCUCUUUCAGGAGGGACGAAGCCACUCGGGUUAAUAGCCCAGAGGGUGACGGUACCUCCAGAAGAAGCCCCGGCUAACUACGUGCCAGCAGCCGCGGUAAUACGUAGGGGGCAAGCGUUGUCCGGAUUUAUUGGGCGUAAAGAGCGUGUAGGCGGCCAUACAGGUCAGCUGUGAAAACUCGAGGCUCAACCUCGAGACGUCGGUUGAAACCGUAUGGCUAGAGUCCGGAAGAGGAGAGUGGAAUUCCCGGUGUAGCGGUGAAAUGCGCAGAUAUCGGGAAGAACACCCAUGGCGAAGGCAGCUCUCUGGGACGGUACUGACGCUGAGACGCGAAAGCGUGGGGAGCGAACAGGAUUAGAUACCCCAGUAGUC